rnacentral:rRNA from 1 species
UAGGGAAUAUUAGAAAUGGACGAAAGUCUGAUCUAGCAACACCGCGUGUGCGAUGAAGGCCUUCGGGUUGUAAAGCACUUUUUGGAAGGAUUAGGAAGGAAUGUACUUCCAGAAUAAGUCUCGGCUAACUACGUGCCAGCAGCCGCGGUAACACGUAGGAGGCGAACGUUAUCCGGAUUUACUGGGCGUAAAGCGCGUGUAGGUGGUUCUGUAAGUAGGGCGUGAAAGCUCCUGGCUCAACUGGGAGAGGCCGUUCUAAACUGCAGAGCUAGAGGAUGGUAGAGGGAGGGGGAAGUCCGGGUGUAGCGGUGGAAUGCGCAGAUAUCCGGAGGAACACCAGUGGCGAAGGCGGCCUCCUGGACCAUUCCCGACACUCAGACGCGAAAGCUAGGGUAGCAAACGG